rnacentral:lncRNA from 1 species
UUUCACAUCAUUGUGAGUAAAUAACUCAUGUCUUUCUAAAGGUAACCUAAAAAAACUUAUAAUUAGACUUACAAAGUUUGUUGCGUAAUCAAAUCGUAAAUGUAGACUUUUUGUUUGUGUCGGUGGUUUUUGGUAGCCUCCACCAAGCCAAUCGCUUUGGUGGAUUGCAAUUUGCUCAGAUAUGUGUGGAGUAAAUUAUGGUUGUCAGAGUUUUUUUUUUUCGGAAGAGUCUGGUCUAUCAAGAGUUCUAUCGACGAGUGAUGUUUCCGUUCAGCUUCAAUUCAACAUUGUGUUUGUCCGUUAUAUUAUUAGGUAUUUUGUUUUGUGACCUUGGCGUUCGAGAUGUUUUGUCACACGGUGUGGUGCCAGUAUAUGGUUCUAGUUUUUGGUAGUUUUAUACAAUUUCUC